rnacentral:tRNA from 1 species
UGUAAAGAAAGGACUAACCUCAUAAAUGGAGUUACAACCCACCGCCUAUACUCAGCCACCUUUAC